rnacentral:rRNA from 1 species
GUUGGCGGGGUAACGGCCCACCAAGGCAACGAUCAGUAGGGGUUCUGAGAGGAAGGUCCCCCACAUUGGAACUGAGACACGGUCCAAACUCCUACGGGAGGCAGCAGUGAGGAAUAUUGGUCAAUGGACGAGAGCCUGAACCAGCCAAGUAGCGUGCAGGAAGACGGCCCUAUGGGUUGUAAACUGCUUUUAUAAGGGAAUAAAGUGAGUCUCGUGAGACUUUUUGCAUGUACCUUAUGAAUAAGGACCGGCUAAUUCCGUGCCAGCAGCCGCGGUAAUACGGAAGGUCCGGGCGUUAUCCGGAUUUAUUGGGUUUAAAGGGAGCGUAGGCCGGAGAUUAAGCGUGUUGUGAAAUGUAGAUGCUCAACAUCUGCACUGCAGCGCGAACUGGUUUCCUUGAGUACGCACAAAGUGGGCGGAAUUCGUGGUGUAGCGGUGAAAUGCUUAGAUAUCACGAAGAACUCCGAUUGCGAAGGCAGCUCACUGGAGCGCAACUGACGCUGAAGCUCGAAAGUGCGGGUAUCGAACGGGAUUAGAUACCCUGGUAGUCCGCACGGUAAACGAUGGAUGCCCGCUGUUGGUCUGAAUAGGUCAGCGGCCAAGCGAAAGCAUUAAGCAUCCCACC